rnacentral:rRNA from 1 species
UACGUAGGGACCAAGCGUUGUCCGGAAUCAUUGGGCGUAAAGAGCUCGUAGGCGGCUCAGAAAGUCGGGUGUGAAACCUCCAGGCUCAACCUGGAGACGCCACCUGAUACUGCUGUGGCUAGAGUCCGGUAGGGGAACACGGAAUUCCCGGUGUAGCGGUGAAAUGCUUAGAUAUCGGGAGGAACACCAGUGGCGAAGGCGGUGUUCUGGGCCGGAACUGACGCUGAGGAGCGAAAGCGUGGGUAGCAAACAGG